rnacentral:rRNA from 1 species
UAGGGAAUCUUCGGCAAUGGGGGGAACCCUGACCGAGCAACGCCGCGUGAGUGAAGAAGGUUUUCGGAUCGUAAAGCCCUGUUGUUAAGGAAGAACGAGUGUGAGAAUGGAAAGUUCAUACUGUUACGGUACUUAACCAGAAAGGGACGGCUAACUACGUGCCAGCAGCCGCGGUAAUACGUAGGUCCCGAGCGUUGUCCGGAUUUAUUGGGCGUAAAGCGAGCGCAGGCGGUUAGAUAAGUCUGAAGUUAAAGGCAGUGGCUCAACCAUUGUAGGCUUUGGAAACUGUUGAACUUGAGUGCAGAAGGGGAGAGUGGAAUUCCAUGUGUAGCGGUGAAAUGCGUAGAUAUAUGGAGGAACACCGGUGGCGAAAGCGGCUCUCUGGUCUGUAACUGACGCUGAGGCUCGAAAGCGUGGGGAGCGAACAGG